rnacentral:misc_RNA from 1 species
AAAUCUUAGUUAUGGAUAUAUUUGUAUCCAGUUUUGAGAGAUUUAUUCUCUCUACUUGUUCUUUGAAAACUGAAUAUCGACAUUGAUAUAUUAAUUAAUAUUUCAAAGUUUAGAUCAACCUAUAGAAUAUUUAUAAAAGACAACAAUAGGUCAUACAACAAAUCAAAUAUAACGAAACAACUAUUAAACAAGAUAAGAGUAUUUGGUGGAUGCA